rnacentral:rRNA from 1 species
AUUGAACGCUGGCGGUAUGCUUAACACAUGCAAGUCGAACGAUGAGAAAGAGCUUGCUCUUUCGAUUAGUGGCGGACGGGUGCGUAACGCGUAGGAAUCUACCUAUUAGUGGGGGACAACUUAGGGAAACUUAAGCUAAUACCGCAUACGCCCUACGGGGGAAAGAAGGGGAUCGCAAGACCUUUUGCUAAUAGAUCAGCCUGCGUAGGAUUAACUAGUUGGUGGGGUAAAAGCUCACCAAGGGGACGAUCCUUAACUGGUUUGAGAGAAUGAUCAGUCACACGGGAACUGUGUGACGUACCAGACUCCUACCUGAGGCAGCAGUGGGAAAUAUUGGACAAUGGGCGGAAGCCUGAUCCAUCAAUACCGCGUGUGUGAAGAAGGCCUUAGGGUUGUAAAGCACUUUCAAUUGGAAGGAAAACCACGAAGCUAAUACCUUCGAGUUUGACAUUACCUUUAGAAGAGGCACCGGCUAACUCCGUGCCAGCCGCCGCGGUAA